rnacentral:rRNA from 1 species
UACAGAGGUCUCAAGCGUUUGUUCGGAUUCAUUGGGCGUAAAGGGUGCGUAGGCGGCGCGGUAAGUCGGGUGUGAAAUCUUGGAGCUUAACUCCGAAACUGCAUUCGAUACUGCCGUGCUUGAGGACUGGAGAGGAGACGUGGAAUUUGACGGUGUAGCGGUGAAAUGCGUAGAUAUCGAGUGAAGAGCCGUGGCGAAGGCGGGUCUCUG